AUGCUGCCGGCUGGCGUCAAGUUCGAUCCCACGGAUCAGGAGCCGAUCGAGCACCUUGAGGCCAAAGUGAGUGCUGACAGGGCGAGAUCUCACCCUCUCAUCAAUUUGUUCAUACCAACCAUCGACAGCGAGCACGGCAUAUGCUACACCCAUCCUGAGAAACUUCCAGGUAUCACACUAAGUGGCUUAAGCAAGCAUUUCUUCCAGCACAAUUCCAGGGCGUUCAAAAGGGGCACGUGGACGCGUCGCAAGAUACAGUCGGAGUGCGUCAUGCAUGCGAUGUGGCACAAGACCGGCAAUACCUUGCCGGUGAUGGUCAAUGGCCGGCAGACGGGCAGCAAAAAGGUUCUGGUGCUGCACACCAACAAGAACUUCGACCAUUCCCGCAAAAAAAAGAACUUCGACCAGUAG
rnacentral:rRNA from 1 species